rnacentral:lncRNA from 1 species
CGAAAUUUGAACGUUUAUCUCAGUUUCAUUCUGUAGAAUUGGCGUCGAGCAAAAUUAUAUAGUUUCGGAUAUUCUUAGUAUGUCUUGAUUCGACAGAAAACAAAUGAAGAUGUGUGGAUGGGAAAUUUGUUGUACUGUACAUUAACCUUUUUUAACUGAUUUCAGCAAAAGAAUUUUCUCUAUGAUGCUCUCUACUCUUGGCUUCACAUUUUCCAUGGUAUGAUUCAAUUGUCCAUGUAUGUAAACGCUGAUUUGGGCUGAGUUUUGUCGAUUGUAUAAUCAUGUUUAGAACUCAUUCGUUUGAAACUUUUUAUCCUCUUUUAGUUUCAUUCUCAGACGCAGUAAAAGGGCAACCAGAACUCGUAUUGAUUAUAGACAGAUUGAGAUGUCUGAAUCAGAAACUGAAUUAAUGAAACCUGAGAAGUCAAAUGCAUUAGACGAGCACCCAACUGCUAGUGAUAAUGAAGGGUUCUCAACAGGAAGUCGAGAUUCAGAUUCGAGCAACGAAAAGCUUGAGAUGCAUGUUGAUCAGCCUGCUGAGGAGCAUCCUGAGACAAAUGAUGAGCAAACGCAUCCACCAGAAAAAUCAAAUGAGACAGAUCGAGACAAAGUUGGUGUACCGAAAAAGCAUUUUCUUGAUCUCAAUGAGCUCGCUCCUGGCUCUGGCUUUGACGAUAUUCCCAACUCUAUGAAAGACGAAGAUAAAGACAAUUUCUAAAGCCCAUCCACCAAAAUGCAAUGAUUGUACGUUCUCUCCCAGAGAAAUUGAUUUGUAUGCUAGGUAACUUAUAAACUGUGGUAAACCCACUCUACAGUGACUAUUAAAAGAGUUCCUAGGCGAAAUUUGAACGUUUAUCUCAGUUUCAUUCUGUAGAAUUGGCGUCGAGCAAAAUUAUAUAGUUUCGGAUAUUCUUAGUAUGUCUUGAUUCGACAGAAAACAAAUGAAGAUGUGUGGAUGGGAAAUUUGUUGUACUGUACAUUAACCUUUUUUAACUGAUUUCAGCAAAAGAAUUUUCUCUAUGAUGCUCUCUACUCUUGGCUUCACAUUUUCCAUGGUAUGAUUCAAUUGUCCAUGUAUGUAAACGCUGAUUUGGG